CAUUGGAUCAUAUUUGAAUUAAAAUUGGAUCGGAUUUUUAUCGGAUAAGGAUACGAUAUAGAUUGGAUUCGGUUUGAAUUUUGAUGAGUUUGGAUUUAAAGGAUUGAUUUUGGAUUGUGUUUGGCUUAAAUUUGAAUAAGAUUUAUUUGUGAUUGGAUUUGGAUUGGAGUCAGAUUAAUUUUAAAAUUGGAUUGGAUUUUCAUUCGAUUAGGAUUAGAGUUAAUGCUGGUUGGGUAACAGCUUUAUUUUUUUUAAUUAAAGCUUCAAUUAGGAUUAUACUUCCAAACAAAUACGUGUUCGGUUUGAUAAGGAAAUUAAGAAGAAACAAUGAACAUCUUCUGGCUGAGUAUGCUUAAGAAAAAGAAAAGUCAAACAGUAUCAAACUGGCCACACUAUGGAGUCAUUUACUUUUUUUGGUACAGUUGAUUUUUAAGAUGAAACGCAAAAGUACACUAAAAGUUGUCUUACAAGAAGAUUUUUUACUUAAUUAUUGAGUUAUUAUAAGUAAAUCGAUUAUUCUUUCAAUCUCAAAUCACUCGGUAUUAUCUCUCUUCCUCACGAUGUUGAAUAGGGCAAUCUGCAUCUACCAAAUGGGGAUAGUUCGGCUCAAUAUGAUAAAUUUGAGUUAAUGCGUUUUCUCAGGCUUGAGUAGAAAAAAAUCAAUGUUGCGUCAAUUCAACUUACUAGAUAAUGUCAACUUUUUAAAUUCAGCCAUUUUUUAAAUAUGCAUUGAAAUGACUCAGGCUUGAACUGAUGCUUGUUUUUAUGUAAGUUUCAAUGGAUCAUCACGUAAAUUAAAAACAGACCAAAAAAAAAAUAUAUACUUUGUCGAACAGAAAAAUAUAUAUAUAUCAGAGAGAGUAGAGGAGGGGAAUAUUGUAGUAGAUAUAGAUUUCAUUAGAAAUAUGAGGUAAAAGUAUGAGACAUGACUUAAAAAUGUUUAGCGUGUACGUCGCCUAUUUGAAACCUGCUAUAAAAUAUGAAAAUAAAAAUGAUGCCGCGCGAAAUAAUUAUGGCAGUCUUCCUCUGCAGCGCCGGAUGUUUCAAAUGAGAUUUCGGGAUAUGAUUGGGCUCGGGACCCGAAAUUUGGGUGGAGACGAAUGCUUCGGCUGAAAGACAGACACGAAGUGAGCAGGGCGUUCGGCUUUUGAUCGCAUAGGAACGCAUUGCAAGCGGCCAUCGAGAGUGUGAAAAGGAAGGAGAGCGUGUGCCUACUCCGCGUCCUGAGGACAGCGGCUUACGAAGCUAAACACGAGUGCGUGGAUCGGUACCGAAGCGUUGCCGUCUAGGGUUCAUUGCCACUGCCGUGAUAUGAUUAAAUCAGUCUAUUGGAGAAUUUUAGAGCGAUUAGUCGCACUUUUAAGGAGUGAAGAAAAUUUGGCCAGCUUAAUUCGGCUGAUACUGUCCAAACCAGGUUGCGUCACGACACUAGGGUCUCAAACUUUGAUCUAUGUGCAACAUUUAAAAACUAUUAGAUUCCAAUAAAAUGUACUGCCAUUUCAUAUAGUAUCCACAUGCUCUGCAGUGUAAUGCCAAUGUCACACAUUUAGGAUUUGAAUGCGUACAAUUAUAUUUCAACACGUGGGACGAACGUGGUUCAAUGCGGUACAACGAACAGAAAAAAAACUGUUGGGAAAAUUCACUGAUCGGUUUUCAGUUUCCAAAGGUCUUGUAGUUAAAAUGUAAUUUAAUGAAAUUUGAUUAUACAUCAGUUUCUAAACAGGAAGAGGGGCGAUACAUCGCCUAAAAUGACAGUGAUUACAGGCGCAUGGAUAUUCAUUAAACUCGGCCAUCGGGAGGUUUCGAAAAACGAACGCAACAACCACAUCUGGGCCCCACACGGAUACAAGCAAUAUGUUUGGCCAAUCAGCAGGUGGAUAAAUGAAAAUAACAAACCUGAUUGCUGAAGAUGACUCCACAAAAACAGAUUCCACUGAUCGUUGAUUAAGCACCAAAAAUAUUGGUCAGAUUUGAAGUCAAUCAAAUAUUUAAACACACUUCAGUCUACAAUAUAUAAAAAGUUUCAAA